CCCCAAUUCCCACCCAUUUCCAAACCCUAGCCGCCACUUCCUCCCACCAAAAUCAAUCCAAAAGACGAUUUUCACCGUUUAUUCAACCCUUCGACGCCGUUUCACUGUCGAAAAUGCACUCACCGUCGAUUCUCGUUGUGAAGAGCACCGUGGAUCGAUGAUUCACAACUACAAAGUUUCGAUUUUGUUUUGAGCGUGCCGCCGGUCGUCGAUUAAAGAGGAACUAACGAAAACGAGAACAAAUGACGAAGAGAGACAGAACAUACACAAGCCAACCAACAGAUGACGAAGCCUAGAAAGUGCUAAGGCGACUUGGAAAUGUUCAGAAUUAAGGUUGCUACUGCGCUGCUGACUUCCGCACAUAACUCCAAAGGUGCAAACCACCAUAGAUAUGCCACCGAGUUUUGGAAGGAGAGGCCGCCUAAGUUCGUCUUCGAGAAGUGGGUCGAAGAGUACAGGCUGAAUUGAUUGGAGUAGUAGUCAUUGAAAUGCUAUUUACAUUUUUUGAACAAUGUGGUUUUUUUUGGAUAAUGCAUUUUAGAAGGUAGAAAAGACGACUUAUUUGUUGGCCA